AUAAUUCAUAAUUUGCCUUUAGAAGGCAAUAGGAAAAAACUCAAUACAGAGAAAAUAUAUAAAGUUGGCACAACUCGGUGCGUGGGAGCAAUUCUGAACACAAAUCUAAAUUUCUGUGAAUGGACAUUUGAAUAUUCUUUUGUACUAUUCUUGGGCAAUGGCAGCUCAAAGUUGACAUUUUAAGUGCCGCGUGUGGCCGGCUUUGUUUUUCCCAAAAUAUAGUUUGUGUAAUGAAGUUAUUACGAGUCUUAAUGCUGAAAUUUAUGCGCAGCCAUUAAAAAUCGAAAGACACGUUUUUUGAAUAUUUUAGCUUUUUGCCGUCGCCGUCGUAUAAAUUAGGCGACGUGACUUGUGUGUGUGCGCUCGAAGAUAACGAACCGCAUUCACAGGGGGUGUGCGGGCAUCUGGCAACUGGCAACUGGUAAGCGGUGAGCGGUGAGUGUCCAGCCUAUUAUCGGGCAUUAUAUCGCAGAAUUUACAAUGCAAAUUCCAAGCUCUGGCUUAAUCGAAGUGUGCAAAAUGGAGUCCAAGACAAAGGGUCGCCGCUGCACUCCACCGAGUCACCGAUGAUGAUGGCAACCGUGAGGAUAGAGGCGUGCGAUCAGUAGUGGUUGCUCUUGAUAUUGCCAUUGGUGGAUGUUGUUUUUGAUUCAGCUGCGCUUGCCACAACUCGUGGAGUGGUUUGUGCGAGCUUCAAGAGCAGCAAGUUAUCCGCGGCAAGCAAGAACUUUGUUGCAGCUACACGCAAUCCGAUUUCACGACUACUAUUGCCAUAGCCUUAAAAAACGAAACCGCAUUGCCGUCGUACUGGCAACGUGUGUAGCCCCAACUGGUAGCCCCAAUAGUGGUAAAAACAGCGUGGAUUGGAAUCUUGUGGUCCAAUGCAUAUGAAAGAGGCCGUGAUUGCGAGCUUGGGGCCCCAGGUCGCCCUGUCUUAGCGGCCAUUGCGAUUGCCUUGUAAGACAGACAGACAGAGAUACAGACAGAUGCUAGAGAGAGAGGCCGUAAAACAAACGUCAAAAUAAUUAAAAUAUAUCCAUGCCUUUCGAAACAAUCCGCAACACAAA